CAGUCGCCGCGGUAAUACGGAGGGUGCAAGCGUCACUCGGAAUCACUGGGCGUAAAGGACGCGUAGGCGGAUUAUCAAGUCUCUUGUGAAAUCUAACGGCUUAACCGUUAAACUGCUUGGGAAACUGAUAAUCUAGAGUAAGGGAGAGGCAGAUGGAAUUCUUGGUGUAAGGGUAAAAUCCGUAGAGAUCAAGAAGAAUACCCAUUGCGAAAGCGAUCUGCUGGAACUUAACUGACGCUAAUGCGUGAAAGCGUGGGGAGCAAACAGGAUAAGAUACCCCCGUAGUCCCUGUCUCUUAUAA
rnacentral:rRNA from 1 species